CCUACGGGAGGCUGCAGUAGGGAAUAUUGCUCAAUGGGGGAAACCCUGACGCAGCAACGCCGCGUGGAGGAUGAAGGUUUUCGGAUUGUAAACUCCUUUUGUUAGAGAAGAUAAUGCCGUUAUCUAACGAAUAAGCACCUGCUAACUCCGUGCCAGCAGCCGCGGUGAUACGGAGGGUGCAAGCGUUACUCGGAAGGACUGGGCGGAAAGAGCGCGUAGGCGGGAUAGCAAUUCAGAGGUGAAAUCCUAGGGCUUAACCAUAGAACGGCAUUUGAAACUGUUAUUCUAGAGUAUGGGAGAGGUAGGUGGAAUUCUUGGUGUAGGGGUAAAAUCCGUAGAGAUCAAGAGGAAUACUCGUUGCGAAGGCGACCAGCUAGAACAUAACUGACGCUGAUGCGCGAAAGCGUGGGGAGCAAACAGGAUUAGAUACCCGAGUAGUC
rnacentral:rRNA from 1 species